GGCCUUCCGUGACUCGAACUAUCUCUCGCGCUGGUCGAGACCGGUGCUGCGGCCGAUCAGUAACACGGAGACAGGGGGUCGACCAUGGGGCUUUGCAAGUGCCCCAAGAGGAAAGUGACCGACCUGUUUUGCUUUGAACACCGGGUCAACGUCUGCGAGCACUGCCUCAUAGCCAAUCACACCAAGUGCAUCGUCCAGUCCUACCUGAAGUGGCUCCAAGAUAGCGAAUACAACCCUAAUUGCCAUCUAUGCAACAUACCCCUGGCCAGCAGAGAAACCACCCGCCCCGACAGCUAUGAUAUCUUUCACUGGGGAUGCAUCAAUGAACGUGCCACCCAGCUACCCAAAAACACCACAUCUGCUGGCUACCAGUGCCCUAGCUGUAGUGGCCCCAUCUUUCCCCCAACCAACCUGGAUGGUCCUGUGGCUUCUGCAUUGAGAGAGAAGCUGACCACAGUCAACUGGGCCUGGGCAGGACUGGGCCUCCCUCUGAUUGAUGAAGUGGUAAGCCCAGAGGCUGAGCCCCUCGACACUUCUGACUUCUCUGACUGGUCAAGUUUUAAUGCCAGCAGUACCUCCAGAGCAGAAGAGAUAGACAGCACCUCUGCUGACCCAACCUUCUACAGCCAGGCCCCACGGCCCCCUGCUUCUCCGGGCCGGACUGAGCAGCACACAGUGAUCCACAUGGGUAGUUCUGAACCCUUGACUCAUGCCCCAAGGAAGGUGUAUGACACAUGUGAUGAUGACCGGACACUGGGCCUUCAUGGGGAUUGUGACGAUGACAAGUACUGUCGCAGGCCUGCCCUGGGUUGGCUGGCUCAGCUGCUCAGGAGCUGGGCUGGGUCUUGUAAGCGGCCACUGACUCUGCUGCAGAGGGUGGGGCUGCUGCUACUGUUGGGGCUGCUGAGUUUCUUGCCCCUCCUUGCCCUCAUGUCUCGCCUGGGCCGGGCCGCAGCUGACAGCGAUCCCAACCUGGACCUGCUCAUAAACCCUCACAUCCGUGUGGGUCCCUCCUGAGCCCUGGCUUGUGGCUAGGCCAGCCUAGGACCCGGGGUCCUGUGGAGGGGAGUCAGGGAGGCCUGGAGGCUCCUCU